GACGAACGCUGGCGGCGUGCUUAACACAUGCAAGUCGAGCGGAAAGGCCACUUCGGUGGUACUCGAGCGGCGAACGGGUGAGUAACACGUGAGUAAUCUGCCCCUGGCUUUGGGAUAGCCACCGGAAACGGUGAUUAAUACCGGAUAUGACCACUUCACGCAUGUGAUGGUGGUGGAAAGUUUUUCGGCCAGGGAUGUGCUCGCGGCCUAUCAGCUUGAUGGUGAGGUAAUGGCUCACCAUGGCUUCGACGGGUAGCCGGCCUGAGAGGGUGACCGGUCACACUGGGACUGAGACACGGCCCAGACUCCUACGGGAGGCAGCAGUGGGGAAUAUUGGACAAUGGGCGGAAGCCUGAUCCAGCAACGCCGCGUGAGGGAUGACGGCCUUCGGGUUGUAAACCUCUUUCGGUGGGGACGAAGCGCAAGUGACGGUACCCACUAAAGAAGCACCGGCCAACUACG
rnacentral:rRNA from 1 species